AGAGUUUGAUCCUGGCUCAGGAUGAACGCUAGCGACAGGCUUAACACAUGCAAGUCGAGGGGCAGCAUGAUUUGUAGCAAUACAGAUUGAUGGCGACCGGCGCACGGGUGAGUAACGCGUAUGCAACUUACCUAUCAGAGGGGGAUAGCCCGGCGAAAGUCGGAUUAAUACCCCAUAAAACAGGGGUCCCGCAUGGGAAUAUUUGUUAAAGAUUCAUCGCUGAUAGAUAGGCAUGCGUUCCAUUAGGCAGUUGGCGGGGUAACGGCCCACCAAACCGACGAUGGAUAGGGGUUCUGAGAGGAAGGUCCCCCACAUUGGUACUGAGACACGGACCAAACUCCUACGGGAGGCAGCAGUGAGGAAUAUUGGUCAAUGGCCGAGAGGCUGAACCAGCCAAGUCGCGUGAAGGAAGAAGGAUCUAUGGUUUGUAAACUUCUUUUAUAGGGGAAUAAAGUGGAGGACGUGUCCUUUUUUGUAUGUACCCUAUGAAUAAGCAUCGGCUAACUCCGUGCCAGCAGCCGCGGUAAUACGGAGGAUGCGAGCGUUAUCCGGAUUUAUUGGGUUUAAAGGGUGCGUAGGUGGUGAUUUAAGUCAGCGGUGAAAGUUUGUGGCUCAACCAUAAAAUUGCCGUUGAAACUGGGUUACUUGAGUGUGUUUGAGGUAGGCGGAAUGCGUGGUGUAGCGGUGAAAUGCAUAGAUAUCACGCAGAACUCCGAUUGCGAAGGCAGCUUACUAAACCAUAACUGACACUGAAGCACGAAAGCGUGGGGAUCAAACAGGAUUAGAUACCCUGGUAGUCCACGCAGUAAACGAUGAUUACUAGGAGUUUGCGAUACAAUGUAAGCUCUACAGCGAAAGCGUUAAGUAAUCCA
rnacentral:rRNA from 1 species